rnacentral:rRNA from 1 species
GUCCACGCCGUAAACGUUGGGUGCUAAGUGUCGGCGGGUUACCGCCGGUGCCGCAGCUAACGCAUUAAGUAUUCCGCCUGGGAAGUACGGCCGCAAGGUUGAAACUCAAAGGAAUUGACGGGGGCCCGCACAAGCGGUGGAGCAUGUGGUUUAAUUCGACGCAACGCGAAGAACCUUACCCAGGCUGGACAUGCAGGUAGUAGAAGGGUGAAAGCCCAACGAGGUAGCAAUACCAUCCUGCUCAGGUGCUGCAUGGCUGUCGU